rnacentral:rRNA from 1 species
UACGUAGGUGGCGAGUGUUGUCCGGAUUUAUUGGGUUUAAAGGGUGCGUAGGCGGCUUUGUAAGUCAGUGGUGAAAUACUCUAGCUUAACUAGAGGGGUGCCAUUGAUACUGCGGAGCUUGAGUACAGAUGAGGUAGGCGGAAUUGACGGUGUAGCGGUGAAAUGCAUAGAUAUCGUCAAGAACACCGAUAGCGAAGGCAGCUUACUGGGCUGUAACUGACGCUGAGGCACGAAAGUGUGGGGAUCAAACAGG